rnacentral:rRNA from 1 species
GAUGAACGCUAGCGGCAGGCUUAACACAUGCAAGUCGAGGGGUAUGCCGAUUUAUCGGCAGAGACCGGCGCACGGGUGCGUAACGCGUAUGCAAUCUACCUUUUGCAGAGGAUAGCCCAGAGAAAUUUGGAUUAAUACCUCAUAGUAUAGCAGUUUCGCAUGAAACCACUAUUAAAGUCACAACGGCAAAAGAUGAGCAUGCGUCCCAUUAGCUUGUUGGUAAGGUAACGGCUUACCAAGGCAACGAUGGGUAGGGGUCCUGAGAGGGAGAUCCCCCCACACUGGUACUGAGACACGGACCAGACUCCUACGGGAGGCAGCAGUGAGGAAUAUUGGACAAUGGGCGCAAGCCUGAUCCAGCCAUGCCGCGUGCAGGAUGACGGUCCUAUGGAUUGUAAACUGCUUUUGUACAGGAAGAAACACUGGUUCGUGAACCGGCUUGACGGUACUGUAAGAAUAAGGAUCGG